UUGCGCCGGCGACGGGUUCAUUCAAAUUUCUGCCCUAUCAACUUUCGAUGGUAAGGUAUUGGCUUACCAUGGUUUCAACGGGUAACGGGGAAUUAGGGUUCGAUUCCGGAGAGGGAGCCUGAGAAACGGCUACCACAUCCAAGGAAGGCAGCAGGCGCGCAAAUUACCCAAUCCCGACACGGGGAGGUAGUGACAAUAAAUACUGAUACAGGGCUCUUUUGGGUCUUGUAAUCGGAAUGAGUACAAUUUAAACCUCUUAACGAGGAACAAUUGGAGGGCAAGUCUGGUGCCAGCAGCCGCGGUAAUUCCAGCUCCAAUAGCGUAUAUUAAAGUUGUUGCAGUUAAAAAGCUCGUAGUUGAACCUUGGGCCUGGCUGGCUGGUCCGCCUCACCGCGUGUACUGGUCCGGCCGGGCCUUUCCUUCUGGAGAUCCCCAUGCCCUUUACUGGGUGUGUGGGGGAACCAGGACUUUUACUUUGAAAAAAUUAGAGUGUUCAAAGCAGGCCUUUGCUCGAAUACGUUAGCAUGGAAUAAUAGAAUAGGACGUGCGGUCCUAUUUUGUUGGUUUCUAGGAUCGCCGUAAUGAUUAAUAGGGAUAGUCGGGGGCAUCAGUAUUCAAUUGUCAGAGGUGAAAUUCUUGGAUUUAUUGAAGACUAACUACUGCGAAAGCAUUUGCCAAGGAUGUUUUCAUUAAUCAGUGAACGAAAGUUAGGGGAUCGAAGACGAUCAGAUACCGUCGUAGUCUUAACCGUAAACUAUGCCGACU
rnacentral:rRNA from 1 species